rnacentral:sRNA from 1 species
AGUAUACACUAGAAUUUAACCCGCGGGCAAUCGCGGGCAAUCGGUAGAUUUGGUUUUUAUACUAAAUAUUUGAAUAAAUUUGAUAUUUUAAAUUUAUAAAUAUAAAUAUCUAGUGAUUAGUGAAGAAUCGUAAUAUAUGAUUUGGAUAUUAUCGAUUAUUGAUUUUGUGAUUGAGUAUAGUGUUUUAGGGAUGGAAUGUGAUCAUAUUUUGAUUUCAAAAACGACAUAAAUUCUUUAUUUUGUUAAACGGUUUAGAUUGAAGGGAAUUAAUUUUAUUGAACGGUUUAGAUUGAAUCGGAUCAUAUAAAGUUUAGGAGAUUGUUAAUACCAAAUUACUCUUAAUGAUUUUGAAUAGCAAAGAACAAAAUCCAAAAUUGAAAUCAAAAUUGAAGCCAAAUUUAGACAAAAUUUCAAUUUGUACUUCCCUUUUAAUAAUGUAGGGAUAAAUUCGAAGAUAUGGUCCAUAGAUCAACUUUUCUUGCAAAAACUUAGAAUGUCUCUAGUACAUGGUAAAUUGGCAGUCAAAUUCUAUUUGAAUUUCAU